CUGUAAGGCCAUACCACCCUGAAGGUAGCCCAUCAUCUCCUCUGAUCUCAGAAGCUAAGCAGGGUCAGGUCUGGUUAGUACUUAGAUGGGAGAAUGUGCAUGAGACAUUGGCCUCUUCAUCAGU
ensembl:rRNA 5S_rRNA 5S ribosomal RNA